GACGAACGCUGGCGGCGUGCCUCAUACAUGCAAGUAGAACGCAGUUGCGAACGGGUGAGUAACGCGUAGGUAACUGCCUCAUAGCGGGGGAUAACUAUUGGAAACGAUAGCUAAUACCGCAUACUUUGAGAUGGACCUGCGUUGUAGUAGCUAGUUGGUGGGGUAAAGGCUCACCAAGGCGUCGAUACAUAGACGACCUGAGAGGGUGAUGGGAAACACUGGGAAUGAGACACGGCCAAGACGCCGACGGGAGGCAGCAGUAGGGAAGCUGCGGCAAUGGACGAAAGUCUGAACGAGCAACGCCGCGUGAGUGAAGAAGGUUUUCGGAUCGUAAAACUCUGUUGUUAGAGAAGCGGUAUCUAACCAGAAAGCCACGGCUAACUACGUGCCAGCAGCCGCGGUAAUAC
rnacentral:rRNA from 1 species